rnacentral:rRNA from 1 species
GACGAACGCUGGUGGCGUGCUUAACACAUGCAAGUCGAACGGGAUUUAGUAAACAGAAGCCUCGGUGGAAGAUUACUAAUGAGAGUGGCGAACGGGUGAGUAACGCGUGAGCAACCUGCCUAUGACAGUGGGAUAGCCUCGGGAAACCGGGAUUAAUACCGCAUAAAAUCGUAGAAACACAUGUUUUAACGGUCAAAGAUUUAUCGGUCAUAGGUGGGCUCGCGUCUGAUUAGCUAGUUGGUGAGAUAACAGCCCACCAAGGCGACGAUCAGUAGCCGGUCUGAGAGGAUGAACGGCCACAUUGGAACUGAGACACGGUCCAAACUCCUACGGGAGGCAGCAGUGGGGAAUAUUGCACAAUGGGGGAAACCCUGAUGCAGCGACGCCGCGUGAACGAAGAAGGUAUUCGUAUCGUAAAGUUCUGUCCUAUGGGAAGAUAAUGACAGUACCAUAGAAGAAAGCUCCGGCUAAAUACGUG